rnacentral:rRNA from 1 species
AGAGUUUGAUCAUGGCUCAGAUUGAACGCUGGCGGCAUGCCUAACACAUGCAAGUCGAACGCCCCGCAAGGGGGAGUGGCAGACGGGUGAGUAACACGUGGGAACGUGCCCUUCGCUUCGGGAUAGCCUCGGGAAACUGGGAGUAAUACCGAAUACGCCGUAUUGGGAAAGAUAUAUCGGCGAAGGAUCGGCCCGCGUUGGAUUAGCUAGUUGGCGGUGUAAUGGACCACCAAGGCUACGAUCCAUAGCUGGUCUGAGAGGACGACCAGCCACACUGGGACUGAGACACGGCCCAGACUCCUACGGGAGGCAGCAGUGGGGAAUCUUGGACAAUGGGCGCAAGCCUGAUCCAGCCAUGCCGCGUGAGUGAAGAAGGCCUUAGGGUUGUAAAACUCUUUCGCCGGUGAAGAUAAUGACGGUAACCGGAGAAGAAGCCCCGGCUAACUUCGUG